GCCUGGGUGGCUCAGUGGGUUAAGCAUCUGACUUCAGCUCAGCUCAUGAUCUCACGGUUUGUGGGUUCGAGCCCUGUGUCAGGCU
rfam:Felis catus isolate Cinnamon breed Abyssinian chromosome C2, whole genome shotgun sequence.